rnacentral:rRNA from 1 species
UGGGGAAUAUUGGACAAUGGGCGAAAGCCUGAUCCAGCAAUGCCGCGUGUGUGAAGAAGGUCUUCGGAUUGUAAAGCACUUUCGACGGGGACGAUGAUGACGGUACCCGUAGAAGAAGCCCCGGCUAACUUCGUGCCAGCAGCCGCGGUAAUACGAAGGGGGCUAGCGUUGCUCGGAAUGACUGGGCGUAAAGAGCGCGUAGGCGGAUGGCACAGUCAGAUGUGAAAUUCCCGGGCUUAACCUGGGGGCUGCAUUUGAUACGUGUGAUCUAGAGUGAGGAAGAGGGUCGUGGAAUUCCCAGUGUAGAGGUGAAAUUCGUAGAUAUUGGGAAGAACACCGGUGGCGAAGGCGGCGACCUGGUCCUUUACUGACGCUGAGGCGCGAAAGCGUGGGGAGCGAACAGGAUUAGAUACCCUGGUAGUCCACGCUGUAAACGAUGUGUGCUGGAUGUUGGGCGACCUAGUCGCUCAGUGUCGUAGCUAACGCGAUAAGCACACCGCCUGGGGAGUACGGCCGCAAGGUUG